GACCAAAUCCAUCGCCAUGGCUAUUCCAAUCGUCAAAUUUUUUCUCACUCUCCCAAUUCUCAUCGUCUUCUUCGCAAAUUUGGAAGCUCUCUCUGUAAUCACUGCCGAGCCUGGCACGAUCGCAGUCCCUUCGGCCUUCUUGCCUUCCGCCGCCGGCCCAAAUGCGUCGUCGUUUUUCCAUUCUCCGGCCACCCUUCACCAGGCUUCCGGCUCGGCGGCGGCGCUACCGCCAGUGCCCACCUCCGGCGAGUUCGUGGGGAGGAGUGCUUCCUCCGAUUCGGCUCAACUUGAUAUAUGGAUCGCUGGUUUUGCUCUUUUGGGCUUCACGAUUCUCGAUUGUUUGUAAACUGUAAUAACACAAAUGCUUGUUAUUGUUCUAGCCUGAGCACGUCCAUAUUAUCUUAGCUUCUUGUUUUAAAAUAUUUUAAUUUUUGAAUUUUUUUAAUGAAGAAUGCUUCCCUGUAGUCCCACCUUCUUGUUUUUUUUUUUCUUUUUCUUCAAAAAUAAUAAUUUAAAUAUAUACACAAAAUCUUCGAACAAUUAACUAACCUUGUAAAAAUAAGAGACAACAAAUUACUUGGUUCUUGAGGGGCACUUUGGUCUUUUAACUCUCGCCACUUACUUGUACACAACCCAAAUCAUGAAAAAAAAAAAAUUCCAACUAGCUUUGGUAGGAAUAACAUAAAAGAAAGAACAACUGAAAAUUUCAAAACGGGUGAAUGAAGAUUUUCUCGAACUUUAACAUAGUUGCAAUAAAAGAUUAUUGGCAAAUCUAUAGAACCCACUUCUCCACAAAUCCAAAUCUCACAACCCAUUUCAAUAAAUUCGUAGACAAGGCCAAUGUGUCCUCCUGGAACUCCGUCAUCGCCGAGUUGGCGCGGGCCGGCGACUCGGUGGAAGCCCUCCGAGCCUUCUCCUCCAUGCGACGGCUCUCUCUCAAUCCAGAUAGGUCCACCUUCCCCUGCGCCAUCAAAUCCUGCUCGGCGCUGUUUGAUCUGCGCUCGGGCAGGCAAGCCCACCAGCAAGCCCUGAUCUUUGGUUUUGAAUCCGACGUUUUCGUGUCCUCUGCUCUUGUAGACAUGUACUCGAAAUGCGGCGAGUUGGAGGACGCACGCACACUGUUCGACGAAAUUCCCCAAAGAAAUGUGGUUUCGUGGACUUCAAUGAUAGCUGGGUACACCCAAAAUGGAAGUGCCCAGGACGCAAUAUUGCUUUUUAAGGAGUUCUUGAUUGAAGAAAGUGGGAGGUGUGGAGAAUUGGGUGUUUGUAUCGAUUCAAUUGCUAUGGUUUCGGUUCUAUCAGCUUGUUCUCAUGUUUCAGGGAAGAGUAUUACGGAAGGGGUUCAUGGGUUUUUGGUAAAAAGUGGUUUUGAGGAGGAUUUAGGCGUUGGGAACACUUUGAUGGAUGCGUAUGCUAAGUGUGAUGAGAUUGGUGUGUCUAGGAAGGUGUUUGAUGGGAUGACUGAUAGGGACGUUGUUUCGUGGAAUUCGAUGAUUGCAGUGUAUGCACAAAAUGGAUUGUCAACAGAAUCUUUGGAAGUCUUUCAUCUAAUGUUGAAGAAUAGAGAAGUCUAUUACAAUGAGGUGACUUUAUCUGCUGUGUUGUUGGCCUGCUCUCAUUCUGGGUUUCUGCAAGUGGGGAAGUGUAUUCAUGAUCAGGUUAUAAAGUUGGGUUUGGAAGAGAACGUGUUUGUGGGCACUUCGAUUGUUGACAUGUAUUGUAAAUGUGGGAGAGUUGAGAAAGCAAGGAAGGCAUUUGAUCGUGUGAAGGAUAAGAAUGUGAAGUCGUGGACUGCCAUGGUUGCUGGCUAUGGCAUGCAUGGCCAUGCCAAAGAGGCUUUGGCUGUUUUUUACGACAUGAUAAGGUUUGGGGUCAAACCAAAUUACAUAACUUUUGUGUCAGUUUUAGCUGCUUGUAGCCAUGCCGGUAUGUUGGAAGAAGGCUGGCAUUGGUUCAAAGCCAUGAAUCAUGAAUUUGAUAUAGAACCUGGUGUUGAGCACUACGGAUGCAUGGUUGACCUUCUUGGGCGCGCUGGAUUUCUCAAUGAUGCUUAUGAUUUGAUUAAGGAAAUGAAGGUGAAACCCGAUUUUGUGAUUUGGGGUUCUCUUCUUGGUGCAUGUAGGAUCUACAAGAAUGUGGAGUUGGGGGAAAUUUCUGCAAGAAAACUGUUUGAAUUGGACCCAAAUAAUUGUGGGUAUUAUGUCUUACUUUCAAAUAUGUAUGCUGAUGCAGGAAGGUGGAAUGAUGUGGAAAGGAUGAGAAUAUUUAUGAAGAACCACAGGCUAGUAAAACCUCCCGGAUUCAGUUUGGUAGAAGCAAAAGGGAGGGUUCAUGUCUUUCUAGUUGGGGAUAAAGAGCACCCACAGCAUGAGAAGAUUUAUGAGUAUUUGGAGAAACUGUCUGUGAAGUUGCAGGAAGUUGGUUAUGUACCGAAUAUGACGUCUGUUCUUCAUGAUGUUGACCAAGAAGAAAAAGAAAUGACGCUUCGAGUUCAUAGUGAGAAGCUUGCUGUUGCGUUUGGAGUCAUGAGCACUGUCCCUGGUACAACAAUCCAAAUCAUUAAAAAUCUCCGGGUAUGCAGUGACUGUCACACUGCAAUCAAGCUGAUUGCCAAGAUAGUUAAUCGAGAAAUUAUAGUAAGGGACUCAAAGCGAUUUCAUCAUUUUAAGGAUGGAUUCUGUUCCUGUGGGGAUUAUUGGUGAUAUUUAUAUGAAAGGCAUUUUUUGCUAGAUCACAAGUUUACUGAUGAAGAAAUUUAAGCAGGUCAUCCCUAUCCACAUUUGAUUACACAGAUCAAAUGUGAAGCAUGAAAACCAAGGGGACCAUGAGGAGAUUGCAAUUAUCCCAAUUUUUGUUGUGCUAGAAGCUUCACUUUAAAUUUAGAGGCUUUGCUUGUGAAUUAAGAGUGUGGCUCUUUCCUGAUUAUGAAACAAUGGCCGGUGAAUUUACUGAAAGAGAGUAAUUUUGAGCAUAGCAACAGAUAGUUGAACUAUCAAUACCGUGAAAAAAAAUCUAUGAACUCUUGAAGAAGUACUACUCUCUGACAUUGCUGGACCUGAAUACGCUGCUAAGUACAAGACCUUGAUCUUCCUCGCAGGCUCUGCAUCGGCUGAGGUGAUUGCUGGUGUAGCUCUUUGUCCCAUGGAAGCUGUGAAAGUCCGUGUUCAAACUUAGCCUGGUUUUGCAAGGGGGGCUGUUGGAUGGAUUGCCCAAGUUUGUCAAAUCUGAAGGAGCUCUUGGGUUGUAUAAAGACAUUGUUCAUCCCUGGGGACGUCAGAUUCCCUGUAAGUUGACACUUGUAUUACGAGCUAUUUGUUGUUGUGUUCAUCUACAAGCUAUUGUUCGUCUACAGAUUAUUGAGCAAUGUCAUCUGUUUGAUAUUGGUUUCUUGUUUCUUCUGGAUUUAAAUGGAUUAAUGGUGAAAUGUAUUCUUGCAAA